GUACACUCCUACGGGAGGCAGCAGUGGGGAAUAUUGGACAAUGGGCGCAAGCCUGAUCCAGCCAUGCCGCGUGAGUGAUGAAGGCCCUAGGGUUGUAAAGCUCUUUCACCGGUGAAGAUAAUGACGGUAACCGGAGAAGAAGCCCCGGCUAACUUCGUGCCAGCAGCCGCGGUAAUACGAAGGGGGCUAGCGUUGUUCGGAUUUACUGGGCGUAAAGCGCACGUAGGCGGACUAUUAAGUCAGGGGUGAAAUCCCGGGGCUCAACCCCGGAACUGCCUUUGAUACUGGUAGUCUUGAGUUCGAGAGAGGUGAGUGGAAUUCCGGGUGUAGAGGUGAAAUUCGUAGAUAUUCGGAGGAACACCAGUGGCGAAGGCGGCUCACUGGCUCGAUACUGACGCUGAGGUGCGAAAGCGUGGGGAGCAAACAGGAUUAUAAACCCGGGUAGUCCCAUG
rnacentral:rRNA from 1 species